GGUUGAUCCUGCCAGUAACAUAUGCUUGUCUCAAAGACUAAGCCAUGCAUGUCUAAGUAUAAGCAACUUUAUACUGUGAAACUGCGUACAGCUCAUUAUAUCAGCAAUUAUUUAUUUGAUGGUUCAUUACUACUUGGAUAACCGUGGUAAUUCUAGAGCUAAUACAUGCAACUAAAAUCCUAACUCUUGCGGGGAAGGAUGUAUUUAUUAGAUAAAAAACCAACGUGGUCUCUUGACCUCUCACUUGGUGACUCAUAAUAACUGUUCGAAUCGCAUAGCCUUGUGCUGGCGAU
rnacentral:rRNA from 1 species